GCUGGGCGUGAUGGCACGUGCCUGUAAUCCCAGUGGCUUGGGAGGCUGAGGCAGGAGGAUUGCAAGUUCAAAGCUAGCCUCAGCAAAAGCAAGGCACUAAGCAACUCAGUGAGAUGCUGUCUCUA
rnacentral:sRNA from 1 species